rnacentral:lncRNA from 1 species
AUGCUCUGCAACCUCUGCAGCCUCCCCGUGCCCUUCCCCAGCUCCCCACCGCCGGCGCAAGGGACACCCGGAGCUUUGGGGACAUGGAGGGGACCCCCAGCCCCAUUUGGAGCCAUGCUGUGGGUUAUCCACCCGCUGUGCCCAAGGCACGGGGACGUCACGGUGCCAAGGGAGCAAGGAGCAAAGUUCCCCGAGGACGUGCCCGGAGGGAGGGAGCGGGCAGAGCGCGGUGCUGGAGAGGCCGCGGGUACUUACAGGCUGCGAGCCACGGCGCUCAUCUUCCCGGCGGGGCUGCCUUUCCCUUGGGUGGCCAUCUCUUCCUCUUGGCAGCCUCUGAAAAGAAGGGGACGGGCUGUGAGGAUGCCCCAAAGGUGCCUUCAGCCCCUAAAACCACCCACGUCCUCCUGCACGCUGCCACCCCCUACCCCGAGGAUGGCAACCCGGUGGCGAGCUGGAAAGGAGGAGGACGCCACGGGGGGACCUGGUCUCAUCCAGAGCAGCCGUGCCCAGUGUCCCUUCGUCCCCACGCUCUCCUUGUGCUGCCACCUUCACCACGCACCCCACUGUAGGGGAUUUCCCCCCCGGCUGCCCUACCCAGCUCAGCAGUGCCCAUGCCCUCCAGGCUGGAGCAGGAUGCGGCCACUGAGCGGUGCCCGUGCCGGCCCCGCGGUGCUGGAGGCUGGGGCUGAGCCUCUCACGGAGCCCGGGCAGAGUCCGGGGCAGAGGCGGGGUGAGAAAAGGCAGGGGACAGGCGAGGAUCAGGAAACGUUGCUCCGGGGCUCCCCGUGCUGCUGGCUCCUUCCCAGCAAGAGCCCAAGGGUGGGCACCCCGAGCAUUCACGUGGAGCCCCCCAGCACCUCCAGCACCCAGCUGAGCCCCUCGCCGGACAAGGGAAGGACUAAAAUAAGCAAAAAGAGUGUUUUUUCUCCUUUUUUCCCCUGUCCCACCAGCUCAGCAGGGCUUAUCUCCAAGCCAGGAGACUGGGGGGGCUUGGAAAGCUUGGGGUUCCCUGGAAAUUCCCUGCGCACACCCGCCUGGAUCCCAUCUACCAGCCCCACGGGUGGUAGCUCAUCCUGCCCCAACACUGCUGUGGGAUUUCAGGGCUUUAUCACUCAGUUUAUAAAUAUUUAA